GUUUCUUGGGUGUUGAACAUAACAUACACAGGACUUCCAAACACCUGUAAGUGAGAAUAAUCAGUUGGUUUACCAGUCCACAUUUCCAUAGGCGUCUUCAGAUCAAUUGCGGUUGAUGGCGACCGAUUGAUCACAUAACAGGCGAUUUUGACUGCUUCUGCCCAAAAUGACUUGGCUAACCCCGCAGUUCUCAACAUUGCCCUUGUUUUUUCUAACAAUGUUCUGUUCAUCCGCUCUGCCACUCCAUUUUGCUGUGGAGUGUAUGCCACAGUGAACUGCCUCUUGAUACCUUCUUGUUGACAGAAGUUAUCAAAUUCAUCACCGGUAUAUUCUCCUCCAUUAUCAGUCCUCAGACACUUGAUCUUCUUUUCAGAUUCAAGCUCCACACGCGCUUUGAAUAUUUUGAAGACUGCAAACACGUCUGCCUUCCUUUUGAUUGGAUACACCCAACAUCUCCUGGAGUAAUCAUCAAUAAAAGAUACAAAGUAUCUUGCACCUCCUAGGGAUAUAAC
rnacentral:lncRNA from 1 species